rnacentral:tRNA from 1 species
GCCUGGCUGGCUCAGUCAGUUAAGCGUCCGACUUCAGCUCGGGUCAUGAUCUCGCAGUCUGUGAGUUCGAGCCCCAUGUCGGGCU